UACAGAGGUGGCAAGCGUUGUUCGGAAUUACUGGGCGUAAAGGGCGCGUAGGCGGCCUCCUAAGUCGGACGUGAAAGCCCCAGGCUUAACCUGGGAACUGCAUUUGGGACUGCAAGGCUUGAGUACGGCAGAGGGGGGUAGAAUUCCUGGUGUAGCAGUGAAAUGCGUAGAUAUCAGGAGGAAUACCGAUGGCGAAGGCAGCCCCCUGGGUCGAUACUGACGCUCAUGCACGAAAGCGUGGGGAGCAAACAGG
rnacentral:rRNA from 1 species